CUCGUCAGCUGCUUCCAGUUUGGAGUCGAACUGACAGAAGAUCUGCUCCAGCUCUUUCCGGAUCACGUUGGCCAGGACGUUGAGACGACCCCUGAAAGACACACAGAGGCCAUCAUGGAGCGGCGUCCGUCUUCACACAGGCAUUUUCUCCUGGAAGCUGCUGCCUCCUUCCUGAUGACAUCACACAGGUGUCAUCGACUGUGGAGUGGCGUGUGGGCGGUCGGGUAACAGAGAACAGCAGCGUUUGGUUUUACCUGUGGGGCAUUCCCAUGAUGACGUUCUCCACGCCGUUCUCAGACGACUUGUCGAUGAUGGUCUUCAGGGCGGGGAUCAGAGACUCGCAGCCCUCCAGGCCGAAGCGCUUCUCUGCAGACCACUUCUUCUGCAGGAA